AGGAAGAAGUUGUGCCCAGGAAAUUAAAAAAGUUUGCCUAACAGACAGACAAUGUAGCUUCUAAAGAGGUCCAGCAUGUUAAAGAGAGUACCUUAGGAAAUGUACAUGUAUAUCAGUCAAACCUAAAGGGAAAAAAAAAAACUUCUGCACCUGAUUUCUUUGGUCCUACUCCAGUUGAAAGGGAAUCCAGGAAAACAUUUGCUAAUGAAAGAAAACAGAUCUGACAAGUCUGAAGAAAAUGAAGAUUCCAGAGUGAAUAGAAAAGAAGAGUAUAAAAAUGGGAGAGAAAAAGAAGGAAGAGAAAAUGGGAAUGUCAACCAUCAAACAACAGAGCAACCAUCAAAGAAAAGAAAGGAAGACUUCUCAGAAUCAAAGUAUGAGGUUAAAAAGCCUUCCCCUGAGAAGAAAAAGAGAGCGGAAAACUGUUCGGAUGAACUGACAGUUGUUAUUAAGGGAAUCUUGGAAAGUAUUGAGAGAGUCAGGAGGCUGCUGAUUUGAUUCAAAGAUGUGGUGAAAAAGUUACCCAAUCAGCAAGCAAGAAAACAAGUUAUGUCAUGGUGGGACAGGAUCCUGGAGAGAGCAAACUUUCUAAGGAGAACCAAGUGUGUUAUGGGUAGACAAAUAUUGGCCUCGUGCAGUGAAGCAGAUUAUUGGUCAGCAGGGUGAUAAGAGCAACAUGAGAAAGCGGAUAAACUGGCUGAGAGACUGGGGAAAAAAUUGAAAGAACUCAGCCUCUAAAUACUGAAAUUUCCCAAUUUUCGAGAAUUCCACGUUAUUCAGUCGAACAAAGAGAAAGGAGAGGAAGGACGUGCUCAAGCUCUGAGAGAUCUCAUGGCCACAAAAUAUCAGCCUGGAGAUUCUUCAUCGCACAGCGUGCGUUUCUCUGAAUUGUGUUCCAUUGAGCACAGCUUUCAUAGUUAUUAAUGAAGCAUGCGUUUACUUCUGGGUUUGCUUCAGUGAAGAUAAUAUCUAGAUGAGAGAGGUACACGUCAACAAUUACAAGUAUGAGGAUGAAUCGGAAUUUUUCAUCCAGCUACUGAACAAAACUGCUCUUCAGGAGAUCGGUGCAAGAGAUACUGUUACAAUCGAAAAUCCUCCGCUUGAUUCGCCGACAGAAGAGGAAAUGGCCAAUGAUGUGAUCCGAGUCGAUGUGAGGCACUCCCAAUCAAGCGCUCUAAAGAAGCUGCAUGACGUCAUCGUUUCUCCUAUUGCUGAUCUGACCGAAGGCAAGGAGCUAACAUUCCUUCCUGAGAGGCCACUUUGCCUUGUAUCUUUUGCAGCGUUGCAGGACUCGGACUCAUCGUAUCUAAGUGAUUCUUUCAGAAUUCGUGUGCUUCCCUCUCUGACUACGUUUCAACUAAUUCAUGAUUGUCCAGCUGACUUUCACAUGAAGACUGGUGCAUUGCUUGUCGGCGACCCAUGCUUCAAAGGUAUCAUCUAUCAGGGAAGACGUUUGGUGAAACUUCCAGGAGCAAGGAAAGAAGUGGAGAUGAUCGGACGUAUCCUUAAAUGUACUCAUUGGUGACGACGUCAACCUGGAUUUCAAGGAUAUUAAGAGGCUGAAGC